UGGGGAAUAUUGGACAAUGGGCGCAAGCCUGAUCCAGCCAUACCGCGUGGGUGAAGAAGGCCUUCGGGUUGUAAAGCCCUUUUGUUGGGAAAGAAAUCCAGCUGGCUAAUACCCGGUUGGGAUGACGGUACCCAAAGAAUAAGCACCGGCUAACUUCGUGCCAGCAGCCGCGGUAAUACGAAGGGUGCAAGCGUUACUCGGAAUUACUGGGCGUAAAGCGUGCGUAGGUGGUCGUUUAAGUCCGUUGUGAAAGCCCUGGGCUCAACCUGGGAACUGCAGUGGAUACUGGGCGACUAGAGUGUGGUAGAGGGUAGCGGAAUUCCUGGUGUAGCAGUGAAAUGCGUAGAGAUCAGGAGGAACAUCCAUGGCGAAGGCAGCUACCUGGACCAACACUGACACUGAGGCACGAAAGCGUGGGGAGCAAACAGGAUUAGAUACCCUGGUAGUCCACGCCCUAAACGAUGCGAACUGGAUGUUGGGUGCAAUUUGGCACGCAGUAUCGAAGCUAACGCGUGAAGUUGACCGCCUGGGGAUACGGUCGCAAGAUUAAAACUCAAAGGAAUUGACGGGGUCAUAGCUGUUUCC
rnacentral:rRNA from 1 species